AGUGGUUAAGAGAUUGGCUGCUAACCAAAAUAUUGGUAGUUUGAAUCUACCAGCCACUU
rnacentral:tRNA from 1 species